UCCUCCCUCCAUCUUGAGUUUCCUGAGAGCGUCUCAGAUCUGAAACUCCUCCUCCUAUUUUUCAUCUUUGGAAGAGUCCAAAUCAAGAAGAAGGAGGCACCUGAUCAACCAUCAAAGAAGGAUCAGUGCAGUACUAGCAUACUGUGCUGAUUUCCUGAAGCAGGACUUUUGAUCGAGAUUCGUGGGCUCGUGUGGAUGACUCCUAGAGGCCGGAUGUGUGUGCGGCUUGCAACAUCAUCCUCAAGCCC
rnacentral:lncRNA from 1 species